rnacentral:lncRNA from 1 species
CUGAGACUGUGAAGGAUGAUGGUUGGAAAAGAUUUCUGGGAACGACGUCUCUGCAGAAUGGGGUGAGAUGAUUUGAUGCUCUCCCAGUUUUCUCUGGACAAAAAGAGAAACCCAAAGCCCCCCCUAAAGCAGCUUGG